GCCAUCACCUGCAGCACACAACCACAGGAGAACCGCCUUUUAACGGAUGUAAGUCAGGGGUCUGCAACCUGAGGCUCUGGAGCCUCGUGAGGCUCUUUUACCUCUCCAUUGUGGCUCUCUGCUUGAAGAAAAGUCACGGACUAUGAGGUGGAUCAAGCAUAACAGUCUGAUAAGUUCAACUUUAUUUCAGUCAUUCACUCGGUGUAAAGAUUUUACCCAAACCUGAGUUUGCUGCCUUUGCCAGCAGAUCAGGGUGGCAGCAGUGCUGCCGGAGCCUCAUCAGAAUGACGAGCACAUCGGCGUAAUUCCUCAAGACGGUCCCUUCAGACACAUAUCUGGAGAACUCACCUGACAGAAUCCAUCGUCUCUGGGCCUUCAGCUCCAGCACGGCCUUACUCAUCUGGGCAUUGGGGUUUCUUAUAAAGUGUCCUUCAUCCAGCACCACCCUCAGCCAGUCGAUCCCGUGUAAGGGGCUCUUAUUCUGAAAGCACAAGCUCGUGAAACGACGUAUUUGUGGGCUCAUCCCCGUAAAGCGGUUUCACUCACCCCAAAGUCAGCAGACAGGACGUUGUAGGUGGUGAUCACCACGUCCUGAGAAGACAGGAACUUCUUGCUCCUGUUGCGAUCGGAUCCGUAAUACAGAUACACGCCGAGCUUCACGUCAGGGUGAAUGUGCUGCUCAAACUGGUCCUGCACAAGAAGAAAGUCAGGAAAAUAACAGGGAGGAAAGCUGAAAAGCCGCUUUGACUGACAUUCUUUUUUGAUGAAUUGUUUUUUUAUGUACCAGCCAGUUGCUGAGCACCGAUAGAGGACAGACGAUAAGAGUGGCUCUUGCCGACGAGUCAUCCGAGUCUGAGGUACAGGAAGACUCCACACCUGCAGACAGCAAGAGGAAUUUCACGCAGUCUGAGCUUCGCUUUCACUGAAAAGCAAACCAGCAACAACUUACUGUCUUUGAGGGUGGACUUCUGAGAGGUUUUCUUCUUCUUUGGGCCUGUGUCUGAUGAACCACUUAGAGCUGCAGCAAAGUCCAGGUCCUCCAGCAACACCGGAGCCUCUGUGCAACAGACAGAAGAUGAGAGAAUCAGUCAAUUCGGAUCCUAAAAAAGUGCUCGUCAGCUAUGAUAUAUGUAUUAUUUUCUGACAUUUCUGUCACUGAAACGUUUAAAGUCCCACUCCGAUCAUCUGUAGUUCUGUUUUUAAAGUGUUCACCAUAAAUAUCAUUAUGCCGAUUUGAGCCAAUUUCGAAAAACCUUUGCCGUUUUAGGACAUAGUUUCUGCAGAGCGGCAGGAGCUGUUGUGGGUGCGGGUGGGACUGAAUGUUGCACUAAAAAUACAAUUUUCAUCACAAAAAGCUUUAUCAAGCUUUUAUUUUGACAUGUAAGCUCACAACUUGAGUGGAGACGCACCUUUACCGGGUUUUCGCUUUGUGGGUUUCAACUUGCCUUUCUUUAACUCUGUAGUUUGAAAAACAAAAUUAAAGGUAUAAGGUCAAACUAAAGUACAAAAAAAAACACCCGAAUAACUUGAAAUAGAUGUGAAAGCUCGUACUUUUCUGCUUCUCUUCCUUCACCUCCACCACCUCAGACGUGUCGAAUGUUUCCUCCAGGUUUACUCUGAUUCACAGAUUAUGUUUGACAGGAUUUGUUUUUUCUAAGCUAAAACAAACAUCACAAGUUUUUGGUGUCAGGAGUAAAAGAUGCUUACAUUUCUGAGCCGGGAUCAGUUCCUUUUGAACUGCUUGCUCCUGCUGCUUUAUCUACAUGAGAUAAACGCCACGUCAUGCUUCCUCGAAACUUUUUGAAAUGACAUGAAAGGCGGGACGAUUACCUUCCCGUCUGGAGGCCUCUGCCGUUUUAGUUUUAACCUUGAAAGGUGAGGGCCGUUCUUGCUGUGCACACAAAAAUAAUAAUAAAAACUGUUGCAUUAAUGUAAUGCUGUGAGAAUAUAAGAAUUAAAAAAAAUGCUUACACAUUUCUGCACAGG